rnacentral:rRNA from 1 species
GGGUUGUGAGGUUAAGCGACUAAGCGUACACGGUGGAUGCCCUGGCAGUCAGAGGCGAUGAAGGGCGUGCUAAUCUGCGAUAAGCGCCGGUAAGGUGAUAUGAACCGUUAUAACCGGCGAUACCCGAAUGGGGAAACCCAGUGUGACUCGUCACACUAUCAUUAACUGAAUCCAUAGGUUAAUGAGGCGAACCGGGGGAACUGAAACAUCUAAGUACCCCGAGGAAAAGAAAUCAACCGAGAUUCCCCCAGUAGCGGCGAGCGAACGGGGAGGAGCCCAGAGCCUGAAUCAGCAUAUGUGUUAGUGGAAGCGUCUGGAAAGGCGCGCGAUACAGGGUGACAGCCCCGUACACAAAAGCGCAUGUGCUGUGAGCUCGAUGAGUAGGGCGGGACACGUGGUAUCCUGUCUGAAUAUGGGGGGACCAUCCUCCAAGGCUAAAUACUCCUGACUGACCGAUAGUGAACCAGUACCGUGAGGGAAAGGCGAAAAGAACCCCGGCGAGGGGAGUGAAAAAGAACCUGAAACCGUGUACGUACAAGCAGUGGGAGC